GGAACAGGUAUCAAGUUACAAGUAGAUGUAGGUGUAAUAUAAAAUAUUUUCAAUAUGACUUAAGUGUAAACAAGCAAGGAGUUGGUGUCAUUUUAAGGUAUGAUUAUCACAAAAUUUCUGUGUAAAUUAAGAAAUGACAAGCAAGUAAAAUGUGUUAUUUAAAGGUACAACAAAUUAA